rnacentral:rRNA from 1 species
AACUUAAAGGAAUUGACGGGGGCCCGCACAAGCGGAGGAGCAUGUGGUUUAAUUCGAUGAUACGCGAGGAACCUUACCUGGGCUCGAACGUAAGAUGACUGUAGGUGAAAGCUUACAUCUCUUCGGAGCAUUUUACGAGGUGCUGCAUGGUUGUCGUCAGCUCGUGCCGUGAGGUGUCGGGGUUAAGUCCCGCAACGAGCGCAACCCUUGCCUUUAGUUGCCAGCAGUUCGGCUGGGCACUCUAAAGGGACUGCCGGUGUUAAACCGGAGGAAGGUGGGGAUGACGUCAAGUCCUCAUGGCCUUUAUGACCAGGGCUACACACGUACUACAAUGGCCGAUACAAAGGGCAGCGACACUGCGAGGUGAAGCCAAUCCCGUAAAAUCGGUCUCAGUCCGGAUUGGAGUCUGCAACUCGACUCCAUGAAGUUGGAAUCGCUAGUAAUCGUGGAUCAGCAUGCCACGGUGAAUACGUUCCCGGGCCUU